UUACGAGAAUGGCAAACUUAUCGAAAGAUAAGGACGCAAAGCUUUGGACCUACCGUAUCGAGUUACUCCAUACUAAGGUUGCCAAGCCUCCGAA
rnacentral:ncRNA from 1 species